rnacentral:rRNA from 1 species
ACGCUAGCUACAGGCUUAACACAUGCAAGUCGAGGGGAAACGACAUCGAAAGCUUGCUUUUGAUGGGCGUCGACCGGCGCACGGGUGAGUAACGCGUAUCCAACCUGCCCAUCACUUGGGGAUAACCUUGCGAAAGUAAGACUAAUACCCAAUGAUAUCUCUAGAAGACAUCUGAAAGAGAUUAAAGAUUUAUCGGUGAUGGAUGGGGAUGCGUCUGAUUAGCUUGUUGGCGGGGUAACGGCCCACCAAGGCGACGAUCAGUAGGGGUUCUGAGAGGAAGGUCCCCCACAUUGGAACUGAGACACGGUCCAAACUCCUACGGGAGGCAGCAGUGAGGAAUAUUGGUCAAUGGGCGAGAGCCUGAACCAGCCAAGUAGCGUGCAGGAUGACGGCCCUAUGGGUUGUAAACUGCUUUUAUAAGGGAAUAAAGUGAGUCUCGUGAGACUUUUUGCAUGUACCUUAUGAAUAAGGACCGGCUAAUUCCGUGCCAGCAGCCGCGGUAAUACGGAAGGUCCGGGCGUUAUCCGGAUUUAUUGGGUUUAAAGGGAGCGUAGGCCGGAGAUUAAGCGUGUUGUGAAAUGUAGACGCUCAACGUCUGCACUGCAGCGCGAACUGGUUUCCUUGAGUACGCACAAAGUGGGCGGAACUCGUGGUGUAGCGGUGAAAUGCUUAGAUAUCACGAAGAACUCCGAUUGCGAAGGCAGCUCACUGGAGCGCAACUGACGCUGAAGCUCGAAAGUGCGGGUAUCGAACAGGAUUAGAUACCCUGGUAGUCCGCACGGUAAACGAUGGAUGCCCGCUGUUGGUCUGAAUAGGUCAGCGGCCAAGCGAAAGCAUUAAGCAUCCCACCUGGGGAGUACGCCGGCAACGGUGAAAC